rnacentral:rRNA from 1 species
UAGGGAAUCUUCGGCAAUGGGGGGAACCCUGACCGAGCAACGCCGCGUGAGUGAAGAAGGUUUUCGGAUCGUAAAGCUCUGUUGUUAAGGAAGAACGAGUGUGAGAAUGGAAAGUUCAUGCUGUGACGGUACUUAACCAGAAAGGGACGGCUAACUACGUGCCAGCAGCCGCGGUAAUACGUAGGUGGCAAGCGUUGUCCGGAUUUAUUGGGAGUAAAGCCAGCGCAGGCGGUCAAUUAAGUCUGAUGUGAAAGCCCAUCGCUUAACGGUGGGUUUGCGCUGAGUAAGGGCGGGCUAGAGUGCAGUAGGGGAGACUUGAAUUCCCGGUGUAACGGUGGAAUGUGUAGAUAUCGGGAAGAACACCAAUGGCGAAGGCAGGUCUCUGGGAUGUUACUGACGCUGAGAAGCGAAAGCGUGGGGAGCGAACAGG